rnacentral:rRNA from 1 species
AGAGUUUGAUCAUGGCUCAGGAUGAACGCUAGCGGGACGCCUAACACAUGCAAGUCGAACGUUAGUCUUUUUGUAGCAAUACAAAGAGACAAAAGUGGCAAACGGGCGCGUAACACGUACUUAAUCUGCCUUUGAGCGGGGAACAACUACAGAGAUGUAGCUAAUUCCCCAUACGCUCCAGUGAAUGAAAAUAGCUGGAGGAAAGAUUUAUCACUCAAAGAGGAGGGUGCGGCCUAUCAGGUAGUUGGUGAGGUAAUGGCUCACCAAGCCUAUGACGGGUAGCCGGUCUGAGAGGAUGUCCGGCCGCAAUGGAACUGAGAACGGUCCAUACCCCUACGGGGGGCAGCAGUGAGGAAUAUUGGACAAUGGGCGAAAGCCUGAUCCAGCGAUCCCGCGUGGAGGAUGACGCAUUAUGGUGUGUAAACUCCUUUUUUGAAGGAAGACGAAUGACGGUACUCAAGAAUAAA